GUGUCGCUGUGGGUCUGUGUAAGAUGUUACCGCAUCGCUCCCUGCCUCAGUUUCAUUCCCAUGAGAAAUGACUUUCAGCUUCAGUGUUACAGUGCGUCUGUCUGUCUGUCUGUCUGUCAUCCACGUGUUGCGCUGCGCGUCUCGCGUCCUGUCUGUUGCUUCUCCGGGAAGUUUCGAUGCUCCGGGAAUAACAGCACAGAGCAGAGCCCUGACAGGAGCCGCGAGCGGACCGGACUUUUCCAUGUUUGACACGCAUUACCCGACACCAGACUGUGCUGAAGUGUUUGUGAGGCAGGUAGAGAGAAGGAACGCUUUUAACUGCGGAAGCAGAUUGUCUCCGGUGCUUUUUGAAUGGGGAAGAUGCUGUCAAGCUCCAAAUAUGACCAAAAGAAAUUCAUCAUAAAGAGUUGACACCGUGGGAAAUGUCACAGCCGGGAGACAUUUGACAAAUGAAGCCCAGUGGAUGGCGAAGAAUCUAUUAAAGGCGGUGCGUUUGAGAGAUCUGCAUUCAUUUCAGUUGGUAUUGUGUGAACCUGACAGUAUUCGUGUCAAAACCCGGUGCAACAGAAACACACGGGUGUCACACCCCAUCUGCCCUCUCCAGCUGCGGCACGGAGAGGCGUGUCCCUGCCUCCCCCCGCAACACCCCAAAUCCACCCGACAUGCGGCUUUAAAUGCAGCGUGCUUCAGUUCAUGCCCGAAUGCCAGCAUUAAAUAUUAAGGGGAGGUACUGCAGACGUAAGUGGUGAUUUUAGGUGGAUUAAAUUUUUUUUGUUG